GCCGGAGGACCGGAUCUGCAGUGACAUGGUGGACCUCGGCAGCAGCCUAGCAAGGGUGAAUGCGAUCUGCGAGUGGCUAGAGGAGGGCGUUGUGAGGUGGAGGAACUGGCUUGUGGAGGCGGAGCGAUGACUAGGGCACUAGGCAGCGGCAGGACUAUUGCGAAGUAGCCUCGAAAGGUAUGGGGUGCAGGGAUGGCGCGGCACAACGCAGGAACGGCUCUGGUUCACAGCCUUGUGGCUCAGGCAAGCGAUUUGUUAGGUGUUUCUAUUUGAUUCGUUGGUCCAAAUCGAUUUUGCUUAACCUUGCUGUUGGUCUGGCUUAUAUGGACUCCAAAGAGUAGUAUGAUUUCCAGAGGCUAGCAUCUUCUCUUGCUGCGGCAGCCCGUCGCCCGUCGCCUAUACACUGCUUCGGGAGAUGCCAGAAGACAGGGUGCAGGAUUUGCAGCAGGUGCGUCAGGUGUUGUGGGAUGUGACGAUGCUAAUAAGGUGGCCUAAGCAGACUGGUCAGGGACUCACUUCAGCAUGGCCGUCACUCCGUCAGGAAUAUCAGAUGGAAAGCGACUUACCCCCUAGGUAGCAGCAAGGCUCUCUACGAGGGCCUUAUGCCGUGUUCUGCACCAGCAAGGAUGCGCCAAAGAGGGUGCUACAAGGUUUGGAGUAAACAUUCACUUUUCUAUUAGUUCUUCUUACUUUGGAACACCAAAGAUUGGUUACUGAGCUGAACUGAACUGGUUGCGUUGAGUUUGUAUGUUUUCUUGUGUCAGGGAUAUGUAGUUUGUUUUGGGAAACAUUAUGAUAUGGUUGAUUUGAAUUGUUAAAUCAAGUGAUCCUAUCAUAAAGUUUGAAGUGAAUUUGAUGCAUGUAUGUUAGAAAAUAGAAAUAUACUACACCCAUAAUGUAUAAGCCCGAGAUCAGGUCAACGAUGAUUAAGUGAUUUAUUCAGUCUAGGUUUUGUUUUGUCAUAGCUUCUUGCUUCCCAAUGCUAUGCAUUUUCUCUACCUACAUUCAUUUCCUCUGUUCUUACUUUCCAUGACCAGGGAGAUACCAUUUUCUGGUUCUAAUUUUUUUAGUAGUACAGUUAGAAUAGGUAGAUUGACAUGUUGCCUAAUCUUUGCAAAAUGUGAAAAUAAUGAUGGUGCAACUAAAUGAUUUAUUGAUUUUUUCUUUUUUGUAAAGUUCAAAUGAACAGGCUCCUCCCUGUUCUGUACAGAAACUCAAAAGAAGCGAUGUGAAACUAGGAAAGAAUCCAACCAUGGAGAUAAUUUUUUGAAUUGGCUGGUAUUUCUAUUAUGGUCGUCACUUAGGAGUUGUUAGAUUACCAAUUUAUAUACUUUCAGAUGACCUAUAACCUAUUUUAUCUAAGAAUGAUCCAUCAAAGGUGGUGAAGAACAAGCAGAGCAAUGUGCCACAAUGACUAAAAAACAACGAUGGCAUGAGCAGGUUCUGAUCAAAGGUAUGAUCACCUUCUGAUACAUUUAAUAGUUUUCCUUCUAAUGCUAAAUAUGGAUGCUAUUUCUUUUCAAAGAGGCUACAAAAUUAUGAGGUAAUUUGAUUUCCGAGAUGCACAUAAUGAAAGUGAUUAUGUCCUUUCAAACAUAAUUAGGUAGCUCCCGGCCUGGAUUCUCCAUUUUAUACAUAUCAGGAAUCAGGAUUGCUUUGAUGUGUCAUAUAAGGGUUCCUCUAACUUAUCUUAAAAAAUAAGCCCCUUGCAAGUCCUUACUAAUUAUCUUUAUUUUUUUAGGUUCAUGAGAAGCUCAGGCACAGACUUGCACAACAAAGAGACUAUAAUUGGUUUCACAUCAGAAAACACCAGCUCCAUGAAGAUAUUAAAUUCUACAGAUAUGAGCCAAGGCCAAGUAAUCCCAAGACCCAAGCAAGAAUAAAUCAUCCAAAAAAUAAAAAAGGAACUUAUGUAUCUGUUUUCCAUUUGUCUGUGUGAUUAUCGUACCAAUAUGCAUCAUUCUCUAUUGUAGUCUAUGUACACUUAUGUGCCAAUAUCUGUCUUAUUAUUUUUUUUUGAAAA